UACAGAGGGUGCGAGCGUUAAUCGGAAUUACUGGGCGUAAAGCGUGCGUAGACGGUUUUGUAAGUCGGAUGUGAAAUCCCCGGGCUCAACCUGGGAAUUGCAUUCGAGACUGCAAGGCUUGGGUGCGGAAGAGGGAAGCGGAAUUUCCGGUGUAGCGGUGAAAUGCGUAGAUAUCGGAAGGAACAUCAGUGGCGAAAGCGGCUUCCUGGUCCAGCACCGACGUUCAGGCACGAAAGCGU
rnacentral:rRNA from 1 species